rnacentral:rRNA from 1 species
AUGAACGCUGGCGGCGUGCCUCAUCCAUGCAAGUCGAGCGAACAGAUGAGGAGCUUGCUCCUCUGACGUUAGCGGCGGACGGGUGAGUAACACGUGGAUAACCUACCUAUAAGACUGGGAUAACUUCGGGAAACCGGAGCUAAUACCGGAUAAUAUAUUGAACCGCAUGGUUCAAUAGUGAAAGACGGUUUUGCUGUCACUUAUAGAUGGAUCCGCGCCGCAUUAGCUAGUUGGUAAGGUAACGGCUUACCAAGGCAACGAUGCGUAGCCGACCUGAGAGGGUGAUCGGCCACACUGGAACUGAGACACGGUCCAGACUCCUACGGGAGGCAGCAGUAGGGAAUCUUCCGCAAUGGGCGAAAGCCUGACGGAGCAACGCCGCGUGAGUGAUGAAGGUCUUCGGAUCGUAAAACUCUGUUAUUAGGGAAGAACAAAUGUGUAAGUAACUAUGCACGUCUUGACGGUACCUAAUCAGAAAGCCACGGCUAACUACGUG